rnacentral:rRNA from 1 species
GGGUUGUGAGGUUAAGCGACUAAGCGUACACGGUGGAUGCCCUGGCAGUCAGAGGCGAUGAAGGGCGUGCUAAUCUGCGAUAAGCGCCGGUAAGGUGAUAUGAACCGUUAUAACCGGCGAUACCCGAAUGGGGAAACCCAGUGUGACUCGUCACACUAUCAUUAACUGAAUCCAUAGGUUAAUGAGGCGAACCGGGGGAACUGAAACAUCUAAGUACCCCGAGGAAAAGAAAUCAACCGAGAUUCCCCCAGUAGCGGCGAGCGAACGGGGAGGAGCCCAGAGCCUGAAUCAGCAUGUGUGUUAGUGGAAGCGUCUGGAAAGGCGCGCGAUACAGGGUGACAGCCCCGUACACAAAAGCGCAUGUGCUGUGAGCUCGAUGAGUAGGGCGGGACACGUGGUAUCCUGUCUGAAUAUGGGGGGACCAUCCUCCAAGGCUAAAUACUCCUGACUGACCGAUAGUGAACCAGUACCGUGAGGGAAAGGCGAAAAGAACCCCGGCGAGGGGAGUGAAAAAGAACCUGAAACCGUGUACGUACAAGCAGUGGGAGCCCCACCACUAAGCCAGUGGUGAACUCCACAUCCGCAUCCUUUGCUGAGGAUACGGUUAACGGAGCGAAAGCGACGUUCAACCGCAAAACAAGCAGAGGGGGCUUAGUGGUGGGGUGACUGCGUACCUUUUGUAUAAUGGGUCAGCGACUUAUAUUCUGUAGCAAGGUUAACCGUAUAGGGGAGCCGGAGGGAAACCGAGUCUUAAUUGGGCGUUAAGUUGCAGGGUAUAGACCCGAAACCCGGUGAUCUAGCCAUGGGCAGGUUGAAGGUUGGGUAACACUAACUGGAGGACCGAACCGACUAAUGUUGAAAAAUUAGCGGAUGACCUGUGGCUGGGGGUGAAAGGCCAAUCAAACCGGGAGAUAGCUGGUUCUCCCCGAAAGCUAUUUAGGUAGCGCCUCGUGAAUUCAUCUCCGGGGGUAGAGCACUGUUUCGGCUAGGGGGCCAUCCCGGCUUACCAACCCGAUGCAAACUGCGAAUACCGGAGAAUGUUAUCACGGGAGACACACGGCGGGUGCUAACGUCCGUCGUGAAGAGGGAAACAACCCAGACCGCCAGCUAAGGUCCCAAAGUCAUGGUUAAGUGGGAAACGAUGUGGGAAGGCCCAGACAGCCAGGAUGUUGGCUUAGAAGCAGCCAUCAUUUAAAGAAAGCGUAAUAGCUCACUGGUCGAGUCGGCCUGCGCGGAAGAUGUAACGGGGCUAAACCAUGCACCGAAGCUGCGGCAGCGAACGUAUCACCCAAGACAACUUUACGGAGUUGACGAUUGACGGAGCGAAGCGACGUCAAAGCGUUCAUUAAAGUCGAGUUGGCUUAGGGAUACGUUCGUUGGGUAGGGGAGCGUUCUGUAAGCCUGUGAAGGUGUGUCGUGAGGCAUGCUGGAGGUAUCAGAAGUGCGAAUGCUGACAUAAGUAACGAUAAAGCGGGUGAAAAGCCCGCUCGCCGGAAGACCAAGGGUUCCUGUCCAACGUUAAUCGGGGCAGGGUGAGUCGACCCCUAAGGCGAGGCCGAAAGGCGUAGUCGAUGGGAAACGGGUUAAUAUUCCCGUACUUGGUGUUACUGCGAAGGGGGGACGGAGAAGGCUAUGUUGGCCGGGCGACGGUUGUCCCGGUUUAAGCGUGUAGGUGUGUGUUCCAGGUAAAUCCGGUUCACUUUAACACUGAGGCGUGACGACGAGGCACUACGGUGCUGAAGCAACAAAUGCCCUGCUUCCAGGAAAAGCCUCUAAGCAUCAGGUAACACGAAAUCGUACCCCAAACCGACACAGGUGGUCAGGUAGAGAAUACCAAGGCGCUUGAGAGAACUCGGGUGAAGGAACUAGGCAAAAUGGUGCCGUAACUUCGGGAGAAGGCACGCUGACACGUAGGUGAAGUGAUUUACUCAUGGAGCUGAAGUCAGUCGAAGAUACCAGCUGGCUGCAACUGUUUAUUAAAAACACAGCACUGUGCAAACACGAAAGUGGACGUAUACGGUGUGACGCCUGCCCGGUGCCGGAAGGUUAAUUGAUGGGGUCAGCGCAAGCGAAGCUCCUGAUCGAAGCCCCGGUAAACGGCGGCCGUAACUAUAACGGUCCUAAGGUAGCGAAAUUCCUUGUCGGGUAAGUUCCGACCUGCACGAAUGGCGUAAUGAUGGCCAGGCUGUCUCCACCCGAGACUCAGUGAAAUUGAACUCGCUGUGAAGAUGCAGUGUACCCGCGGCAAGACGGAAAGACCCGUGAACCUUUACUAUAGCUUGACACUGAACAUUGAGCCUUGAUGUGUAGGAUAGGUGGGAGGCUUUGAAGUGUGGACGCCAGUCUGCAUGGAGCCGACCUUGAAAUACCACCCUUUAAUGUUUGAUGUUCUAACGUGGACCCGUAAUCCGGGUUGCGGACAGUGUCUGGUGGGUAGUUUGACUGGGGCGGUCUCCUCCUAAAGAGUAACGGAGGAGCACGAAGGUUGGCUAAUCCUGGUCGGACAUCAGGAGGUUAGUGCAAUGGCAUAAGCCAGCUUGACUGCGAGCGUGACGGCGCGAGCAGGUGCGAAAGCAGGUCAUAGUGAUCCGGUGGUUCUGAAUGGAAGGGCCAUCGCUCAACGGAUAAAAGGUACUCCGGGGAUAACAGGCUGAUACCGCCCAAGAGUUCAUAUCGACGGCGGUGUUUGGCACCUCGAUGUCGGCUCAUCACAUCCUGGGGCUGAAGUAGGUCCCAAGGGUAUGGCUGUUCGCCAUUUAAAGUGGUACGCGAGCUGGGUUUAGAACGUCGUGAGACAGUUCGGUCCCUAUCUGCCGUGGGCGCUGGAGAACUGAGGGGGGCUGCUCCUAGUACGAGAGGACCGGAGUGGACGCAUCACUGGUGUUCGGGUUGUCAUGCCAAUGGCACUGCCCGGUAGCUAAAUGCGGAAGAGAUAAGUGCUGAAAGCAUCUAAGCACGAAACUUGCCCCGAGAUGAGUUCUCCCUGAGACUUAGAGUCUCCUGAAGGAACGUUGAAGACGACGACGUUGAUAGGCCGGGUGUGUAAGCGCAGCGAUGCGUUGAGCUAACCGGUACUAAUGAACCGUGAGGCUUAACCUUACAACGCCGAAG